rnacentral:rRNA from 1 species
UAGGGAAUCUUCCGCAAUGGACGCAAGUCUGACGGAGCAACGCCGCGUGAGUGAAGAAGGUUUUCGGAUCGUAAAACUCUGUUGUUAGAGAAGAACAAGUGCUAGAGUAACUGUUAGCGCCUUGACGGUAUCUAACCAGAAAGCCACGGCUAACUACGUGCCAGCAGCCGCGGUAAUACGUAGGUGGCAAGCGUUGUCCGGAUUUAUUGGGCGUAAAGCGAGCGCAGGCGGUUCCUUAAGUCUGAUGUGAAAGCCCCCGGCUCAACCGGGGAGGGUCAUUGGAAACUGGGGAACUUGAGUGCAGAAGAGGAGAGUGGAAUUCCAUGUGUAGCGGUGAAAUGCGUAGAUAUAUGGAGGAACACCAGUGGCGAAGGCGACUCUCUGGUCUGUAACUGACGCUGAGGCUCGAAAGCGUGGGUAGCAAACAGGAUUAGAUACCCUGGUAGUCCACGCCGUANCGAUGAGUGCUAAGUGUUGGAGGGUUUCCGCCCUUCAGUGCUGCAGUUAACGCAUUAAGCACUCCGCCUGGGGAGUACGACCGCAAGGUUG